CGCGCGUUUACAACUCCCAAACCUCUGUGAACAUACCUAUACGUUGCCUCGGCGGAUCAGCCCGCGCCCCGUAAAAAGGGACGGCCCGCCCGAGGACCCGCUAAACUCUGUUUUUAGUGGAACUUCUGAGUAAACAAACAAAUAAAUCA
rnacentral:misc_RNA from 1 species